rnacentral:tRNA from 1 species
GGAUCAGUGUGGUGUAGUGGUUUGAGUAUUGGACUAUAACUCUAGAGGCCAGGGUUUGAUUCCCCACUUUGCCA